rnacentral:rRNA from 1 species
GGCUCAGUAAAUCAGUUAUAAUCUAUUCCAACGUUGUCUCCAUCGGAUAACUGUGGUAAAUCUAUAGCUAAUACGUGCUAAAAAGUUGCCUUUGGCAAUAGCAUUUAUUUUCGAAACACCUUGGUGUAACUGAGUAUAGAUAACUGUGCAUACCGAAAAGUAAUUUGACGGUAGUUCGAUCGAAUUUCUGCCCUAUCAUGUUGUUUGUAUGCUAAGGGCUUACAAAGCACCUAACGGGUAACGGGGAAUCAGGGUUCGAUUCCGGAGAGGGAGCCUGAGAAACGGCUACCACAUCCAAGGAAGGCAGCAGGCGCGCAAAUUACCCAAUCCUGAAACAGGGAGGUAGUGACGAGAAAUAUCGAACCAGUGAAAUCACUGGUACCGAAAUAUUUUUGAUUAAAAAAAUCUUGCUAUAAUUGGAGGGCAAGUCUGGUGCCAGCAGCCGCGGUAAUUCCAGCUCCAAUAGUGUACAUCAAAAUUGUUGCACUUAAAACGCUCGUAGUUGGAUUGCAAUUACUCUGCGGUUGGACGUCAAACGACUGUUCAUCAGCAGUGUUAUAGUUGUAGGACUCUGUGUUGAACUUUACUGUUCAUUGCAGAAACUCCUUCAAAGUGUGCCUUGAAUAAAGCAUAGUGCUUAAAACAGGCUAAUGAUUGAGUGUGCUAGCAUGGAACUAAUAAACGCCACUCUAGUGGUUGGUUAAGAGGAACAUUAGAGGGUGUUCGUACUUGGUGGCGAGAGGUGAAAUUCUUAGACCCAUCAAUGACGCACUGUGGCGAAAGCAUUCACCAAGAGUGUUUUCAUUAAUCAAGAACGAAAGUUAAAGGUUCGAAGACGAUCAGAUACCGUCCUAGUUUUAACCCUAAACUAUGCUAACAUGGGACAAGCCUGCACCUUUGUUGGUUUAUCCCUCUGCGAAAGCCUUAGUUUUCGAGUUGUGGGGAUAGUAUAGUCGCAAGGCUGGACCUUAAAUGAAAUUGACGGGAUGGCACCACCAGGAGUGGAGCCUGCGGCUUAAUUUGACUCAACACGGGACAACUUACCAGGUCCAGACGUUAGAAGGAUUGACAGACUGAGAGAUCUUUCAUGAUUUCAUGAUUGGUGGUGCAUGGCCGUUCUUAGUUGGUGGAGUGAUCUGUCAGGUUUAUUCCGGUAACGAACGAGAUUCUGUUCCCUAGUUUCCUUCGCUGCCAACUCGCUGCAGUGUGAAUAGGGAGACUGUACUCGCAAGAGUAAAGAAGUGGAGCAAUAACAGGUCUGUGAUGCCCUUCGAUGUCCUGGGCUGCACGCGCGCUAC